GACAGAGGCCUCAAGCGUUAGGCGGAAUCACUGGGCUUAAAGCGUGUGUAGGCGGAUCGUUAAGUACCUUGUGAAAUCCCACGGCUCACCCGUGGAACUGCUGGGUAUACUGGCGGUCUUGGGCCAACUAGGGGCAGCUGGAACAAGCGGUGGAGCGGUGAAAUGCGUAGAUAUCGCUUGGAACGCCAAUGGUGAAAACAGGUAGCUGGGGCUGUGCUGACGCUGAGACACGAAAGCCAGGGGAGCAAACGGG
rnacentral:rRNA from 1 species